GAAUCGGCCUUCUGGUCGGGGACAACCACUGGAAACGGUGGCUAAUACCGGAUGAGCCGCAACGUGAAAGAUUUAUCGCCAGAAGAAGAGCUCGCGUCUGAUUAGCUAGUUGGUAGGGUAAAAGCCUACCAAGGCAUCGAUCAGUAGCUGGUCUGAGAGGAUGAUCAGCCACACUGGGACUGAGACACGGCCCAGACUCCUACGGGAGGCAGCAGUGGGGAAUUUUCCGCAAUGGGCGAAAGCCUGACGGAGCAAGACUGUGUGAGGGAGGAAGGCUCUUGGGUCGUAAACCUCUUUUGUCAGGGAAGAAUGAUGACGGUACCUGAGGAAUAAGCAUCGGCUAACUCCGUGCCAGCAGCCGCGGUAAUACGGAGGAUGCAAGCGUUAUCCGGAAUGAUUGGGCGUAAAGCGUCCGCAGGUGGCAAUGUAAGUCUGCUGUCAAAGCGUCUGGCUCAACCAGAUAAAGGCAGUGGAAACUACAUAGCUAGAGUAAGGUAGGGGUAGAGGGAAUUCCUGGUGUAGCGGUGAAAUGCGUAGAGAUCAGGAAGAACACCGGUGGCGAAAGCGCUCUGCUGGACCUUAACUGACACUGAGAGACGAAAGCUAGGGGAGCG
rnacentral:rRNA from 1 species